GACGAACGCUGGCGGCGUGCUUAACACAUGCAAGUCGAACGGAAAGGCCCUGCUUUUGUGUGGUGCUCGAGUGGCGAACGGGUGAGUAACACGUGAGUAACCUGCCCUUGACUUUGGGAUAACUUCAGGAAACUGGGGCUAAUACCGGAUAGGAGCUCCUGCUGCAUGGUGGGGUUUGGAAAGUUUCGGCGGUUGGGGCUGGACUGGUGGCUUAUCAGCUUGUUGGUGGGGGAGUGGCUUACCAAGGCUUUGGCGGGUAGCCGGCCUGAGAGGGUGACCGGCGACAAUGGGACUGAGAUACGGCCCAGACGCCUACGGGGGGCAGCAGUGGGGAAUAUUGCACAAUCGGCGGACGCCUGAUGCAGCAGCGCCGCGUGCGGGAUGACGGCCUUCGGGUUGUAAACCGCUUUAGCCUGUGACGCAGCGUGAGUGACGGUAAUGGGUAAAGAAGCACCGGCUAACUACGUG
rnacentral:rRNA from 1 species